ensembl:lncRNA
CUCCUCCGAGGCUGCGGUGAUUGGCCGGCCAGCGACCGCUCCCAUAAUGCAGCGCAGGGCGCGUCACUGAAAAGAGACCAUCCCAUCUGCGACGCUGCAGCCUUCAUGAGGGAGCGCUCGGCUGGAGAACGCGGCCGAGAUUGUGAUGGCACCACCCUUCGUGGUUGGUAAUGAACAACGCCAACGCGCAGAGCUCGUAUUCUUACCAUUUAGGAAAUCCUAAUGACCAUUUGCAGUUUUCACGCGUAUUUUGGUAUUUCACGCUUUGGAAGUAACAGCUGAAGAGAAGUGAGGCAAAUUUGUGAAAAUUGUGAUCAGUGGUUCGUUGCCACCUGCCUCAGGUGUCUGCUGAGAGGAGCUAACCUCUUUGUGGUGCUAGAGCAAGGUCACUGCAUAAAGAAAAAGAACACAAAUGAAUUAAGUGGACCAUGUCCUCUUUCGCACUGCCCCAGCUAUAAUGCAAAGAGUUGGCUAAGAGUGGAUGCUUUUGGAAAAAGUGAGCAUCUAGUCACUGCCAACAUUCCCUUUAAACUAUGUCUUGCAAAGGUAAACCACCAAGAUUAUGUUUGGGAAGAGAUUCUAUCAGCAGUAGCGCCAAUUGUAAAACGACGAUCGCUAGAUAAAUACAUUGACUGCAAAAGCCUUUUUCAUGAAGUGAGUCAGUUGAUAAGUAGUGGCAAACCCACUGUGCAGCCACGGCCUGUUCCGUUCUAACGGCACUAUUUAGUGACUAUCUCGAGUGCAAGUAAAACUAGCAACUAUGGACUGAGCACGGAAUUCCACGGUAACUGGUAACUAUAAAACGUCUUUCUUUCAGGAAGAAGACCUUCGUGAAAUCUUCACGUUCGCUGUUGAAGGUCUGCCGGAGUUCAUCAGGAGGGACAACCUCGGUGCUCAGAUGGCUUUGGUAUUUCAGCUUCACCUUGAGCUGCUGGUCAGCCUGGGCUUUGCUUUCUCAGCAAAAUCCCACAAGCCCAUUACAACUGUGUGUCCUUCUGGCUCCCUUCUGGGCAGGACGCCCAGCCGCUUGGAUUUGUAAUGAUGCAGGGCCUGGCCAGCCCGGAUCCUACCUUGUCUCACUCAAAGAACAUGACGUCUUAAAGGAACAUGGAGCGGCUCCUGUGAACUACUGUUCCUGGAAACACUAGUCGUCCCAUGGACAGCCCGUCUUGGAAAGCAUAUAGCUUUGUGUCCCCUGCCUGUAUAAGCAACCCCCUCCCUACGCCUGGUAGCGGGUGCACAUUUCCAUCCAGCUGGCCACCACUGGACAUCCGGAUAAGUAAUUCCCAGUAAACCUAUAUGUCUCGUUCCCCAUCUCUGGAUUUUUUCUUCAGUCUCUCUGUGACUUACCCCACACUGCUCACCCAACUGGUCUGUGGCCAGACAAUGCCAAUCAAGUCUCUAGCUCGAACUUUCUUCUUCCAAGUUUGGGCAGACGUUAUUUGGCUAUGUUUGAAUCUUCACAAAAUGUACUGUUAAAGCCAACAGAAUCCUGGUGGGUGACUAUUCUGGACAGCAAAGUUAUGAAGCUUUUUCUCACAGUAUGUGGAAAAAAAGAUUUAGAUAUGGCACAAGAUUCUUUGCAGUGCCUUGCCCAGUUUACUUCUCUUCAUGGACCUAUCUUCCGUCGUGAAGGAUCACAAAUUGAUUAACACACUUCAUUGAAAGAUUACUGAAUACUAUCAAUGAAAUGGAAAUAGAAGAUUCUGAAGUUGUGGGGAUCUCCAGCAUCAUCAGCAAUCUGUUAACAGUAUUUCCUUGAAAUGUUUAAUUGCCGUUCCAAAUGAACUUUUCUCCUCCUUUGUUAACUGCCACACACCUCACUUGUUCUUUUGGGUGAAGUGCUGCAUUGGAAGAAGUCUUGAUAAAGAUGACAUGGCAUAUACCUGGAAGCAUAUGGCAAAAUGCUGGAGUCCUGGCUAACUGCUCCAACAUGAUAAACAUUUCUAUAAAGACUUUUUUACCCAACAUGCUGUUCAAGUUUUCAGUUCUUUUAUUCAGUGCCACCUAGCUGCUCCAAAUGGCACAAGGAAUUUAACUGUCAAUGGUGUGGACUCUCGUGAGGAAGAAGAAAUAGGUGAAUGUCAAGAGGAUGAUCGAGGGCAGUUUUCAGAUCCACAGGCCAGUGAAGGAAUGCUAGGAAGAAUUGCUUCAGAACACUGUAUACCUCUUCUGACAAGAACCUGGUACCUGGUAGACGUUGGAUGUUUCCUUCUCCUGUUCUAGUGAUGAGGACACAAAUUCAUCAUGACUUCUCUAUUAUUGCCAUGUUGAUAUUUUACACAAAACUCAGCAAAACAAAAACAAAACUCACUUCAGGUAGACCGAAGCAAGGCAUUGAUCAUUCUGGCUAUUUCCUGCUGAAAGGGAAUGAAGAUGGGGAAACUGAGGAAUGAGAUUUUUCAACUUGAGAUUGAAAAUAUUCUCAGGUUCCAUAAAGUAUCCUGAAGUUCUUUGCACCUGCCAGGGAAGUGACCUUCUUUACUCACCUGAGUCACCAAGGAAAACACCUACAGCCAAGCACUGAAUGGAAAAAUGCUUUACUUACAUAAAGAAGAGACAGCAAGAUCAGCUUCAAUGGAAAAGCAGAAGAUAAUUGAAGAUUGAGGGAAUGAAGAAAGGGAGACAUUCUAAAGGACCAGAAAAGAAGCAGUUCAUGAAGUUAUACUUGACAAAGUUUUGUCCAGGUUUUUGGAGAUGAAAAUUGUGGGAUUAAAAUCAGAAUUACAACUAA